rnacentral:rRNA from 1 species
AGAGUUUGAUCCUGGCUCAGGAUAAGUCGUAACAAGGUAACCGUAAGUCGUAACAAGGUAACCGUAGAGUUUGAUCCUGGCUCAGAUUGAACGCUGGCGGCAGGCUUAACACAUGCAAGUCGAGCGGAAACGAUGAUAGCUUGCUAUCAGGCGUCGAGCGGCGGACGGGUGAGUAAUACUUAGGAAUCUACCUAGUAGUGGGGGAUAGCACGGGGAAACUCGUAUUAAUACCGCAUACGACCUACGGGAGAAAGGGGGCAGUUUACUGCUCUCGCUAUUAGAUGAGCCUAAGUCGGAUUAGCUAGAUGGUGGGGUAAAGGCCUACCAUGGCGACGAUCUGUAGCUGGUCUGAGAGGAUGAUCAGCCACACCGGGACUGAGACACGGCCCGGACUCCUACGGGAGGCAGCAGUGGGGAAUAUUGGACAAUGGGGGAAACCCUGAUCCAGCCAUGCCGCGUGUGUGAAGAAGGCCUUUUGGUUGUAAAGCACUUUAAGCAGUGAAGAAGACUCUUCGGUUAAUACCCGGAGACGAUGACAUUAGCUGCAGAAUAAGCACCGGCUAACACUGUGCCAGCAGCCGCGGUAAUACAGAGGGUGCAAGCGUUAAUCGGAAUUACUGGGCGUAAAGGGAGCGUAGGUGGCUCGAUAAGUCAGAUGUGAAAUCCCCGGGCUCAACCUGGGAACUGCAUCUGAUACUGUUGAGCUAGAGUAUGUGAGAGGAAGGUAGAAUUCCAGGUGUAGCGGUGAAAUGCGUAGAGAUCUGGAGGAAUACCGAUGG